rnacentral:misc_RNA from 1 species
GAUGAAGAACGCAGCAAAAUGCGAUAAGUAAUGUGAAUUGCAGAAUUCAGUGAAUCAUCGAAUCUUUGAACGCACAUUGCGCCCUCUGGUAUUCCGGAGGGCAUGCCUGUUCGAGCGUCAUUUCGACCCUCAAGCAUUGCUUGGUGUUGGGGCACCGCCUGUAAAAGGGCGGGCCCUGAAAUCUAGUGGCGAGCUCGCCAGGACCCCGAGCGUAGUAAUUAUAUUUCGUUCUGGAAGGCCCUGGCGGUGCCCUGCCGUUAAACCCCCAACUUCUGAAAAUUUGACCUCGGAUCAGGUAGGAAUACCCGCUGAACUUAAGCAUAUCAAUAAGCGGAGGA